rnacentral:rRNA from 1 species
AUGGCGAAGGCAACUCUCUGGAUCGACACUGACGCUGAGGUGCGAAAGCGUGGGUAGCAAACAGGAUUAGAUACCCUGGUAGUCCACGCCGUAAACGAUGAGAACUAGCCGUUGGAUCUUAGAUUCAGUGGUACAGCUAACGCAUUAAGUUCUCCGCCUGGGGAGUACGGCCGCAAGGCUAAAACUCAAAUGAAUUGACGGGGGCCCGCACAAGCGGUGGAGCAUGUGGUUUAAUUCGAUGCAACGCGAAAAACCUUACCAACCCUUGACAUCUAGUGAAAUUUCUAGAGAUAGAUUUGUGCCUUCGGGAACACUAUGACAGGUGUUGCAUGGCUGUCGUCAGCUCGUGUCGUGAGAUGUAUGGUUAAGUCCAGUAACGAGCGCAACCCCUAUUCUUAUUUGCCAGCACUUCGGGUGGGAACUAUAAGGAGACCGCCGUGUAUAACACGGAGGAAGGCGGGGACGACGUCAAGUCAUCAUGGCCCUUACGGGUUGGGCUACACACGUGCUACAAUGGGAGAUACAGAUGGUUGCGAAAGCGCGAGCUGGAGCUAAUCCCAAAAAGUCUUCCUCAGUCCGGAUUGGAGUCUGCAACUCGACUCCAUGAAGCAGGAAUCGCUAGUAAUCGUGAAUCAGAAUGUCACGGUGAAUACGUUCUCGGGCCUUGUACACACCGCCCGUCACGUCAUGGGAGUGUGUUGCACCAGAAGUGGUUUGCCUAACCUUUGGAGGGCGGCCCCCACGGUGUGAUACGCGACUGGGACGAAGUCGUAACAAGGUAGCCCUAGGGGAACCUGGGGCUG